CUGAGGAAGUUGCUCUAGCUGAAACAUUAAGUGCGCCUGAUUGUUUGGAAGAGCCCAAACGAGACUACAUAGUGGUUAUCUUGGAGGGAGCUCCCAAAACAGAAAAGAAGCCCAUGGUGCUCGGUGUGUCCCCCAUGACUGGUAAGAUCAUCUCAGCCCCUGAUGAUGGUGAAGAGUCAUUGGGACAGAUAACAGGGCUAGCGUCGGAUACUUAAAGUGCAGAUGCAUUAGCACCAACUGAAAAAGUUGGGAGCAGUCAGAUGUUCUGGGAUAGUAAACCGGUUCCCUGAUAAAGAAUUAGUGAUGUGCCUUGCCUUCCCCUUUCCGUAUUUCCUUGACCCCCUGGAUUUCAGUAAUCCUUACACUGGGCCCAGAAUGCUGUUUUUCUUCGGACUCAUCCCAAAAUACAACUCUCUUUCCACUUACAUGCUUUCCACUGGAGAGUGGUUACUUCAUGUGAACUUUCACUUCACUCCGAUGUGCCACAUACAAGUUUGUGACCCAUCUUUAUACACUUUUUAAAUCAAUCUCCAGUCUUUUUGAGUCAACUGCACAUUGGAGCCUAUAUUAUAGUGAACCCUACCUCAAACAACACAUUAGUUGGAGAUGUCUUGGAAUUGCAAUGUCAAUAGUUACAAUACCAGCAGGGCUAAACAUUAGCCACAAACACGGUCAUUUCUGCAUGCUGACCACCAGUUUUUUUUUUUGUUAGACUUCAGGUUCUCCUCUAUCUUCAAUAUAUGCUAUUUUUCAUUUGCAUUAUUUAUGAAUUAACACCUUUUUUAUUUGUACCUCUCUACCUCAGCUUGACAGUGUUCUCCUUUAACCAGUAUUACUGUAACCAACUACAUUACCAAUGUGACAUGAAUAAGUCAAAGAACAACUGACAAACAGAUUACCUGUGUCAAUAUUAUCAAUACAACAAUAAGCCAUGUUACAAGUCGCAUUCCAGUUUUAUUUUUUAAAGGCUGACAUUACAAUAUUAUCAAAAAUGUAAACCCCACUGCUGCAUCAUUUGCCUUUGUUUUCCUGUUCUCUCUUAGUUUUUCACCAUCACCAAACCUAUUUUGAAAAAGUUAGA